CGAAGGCGUGGGGGAGCAAACAGGAUUAGAUACCCUGGGUAGUCCACGCCGUAAACGAAGGAGUGUUAAGUGUUAAGAGGGUUUCCGCCCCUUUUAGUGCUGAAGUUAACGCAUUAAGCACUCCCGCCUGGGGGAGUACGGCCGCAAGGCUGAAACUCAAAGGAAUUGACGGGGGCCCGCACAAGCGGUGGAGCAUGUGGUUUAAUUUGAAGCAACGCGAAGAACCUUACCAGGUCUUGACAUCCUCUGAAAACCCUAGAGAUAGGGCUUCUCCUUCGGGAGCAGAGUGACAGGUGGUGCAUGGUUGUCGUCAGCUCGUGUCGUGAGAUGUUGGGUUAAGUCCCGCAACGAGCGCAACCCUUGAUCUUAGUUGCCAUCAUUAAGUUGGGCACUCUAAGGUGACUGCCGGUGACAAACCGGAGGAAGGUGGGGAUGACGUCAAAUCAUCAUGCCCCUUAUGACCUGGGCUACACACGUGCUACAAUGGACGGUACAAAGAGCUGCAAGACCGCGAGGUGGAGCUAAUCUCAUAAAACCGUUCUCAGUUCGGAUUGUAGGCUGCAACUCGCCUACAUGAAGCUGGAAUCGCUAGUAAUCGCGGAUCAGCAUGCCGCGGUGAAUACGUUCCCGGGCCUUGUACACACCGCCCGUCACACCACGAGAGUUUUGUAACA
rnacentral:rRNA from 1 species